ensembl:lncRNA
AUUUGCACACUUGCUUGCCACUGCGCAGCGAGCCCCUAACCCCGCCGCCGCGGCCGGGUGGGUCUCGGGCAGAGUCGGCCUCCGAAGCCCCCGCCCCCGCCCCCGCCCCCGAGGUCGAGCGCCGGCCAAGUCCGCGGACGUAGCACUCAACGAACGCGUUGAUCCCUCCGCGCGGGAGACGAGGACAGCGGCCCCUUCCUCACUAGAUUCAGCCCUACAGCCCAUCCUUGAUAGGUAAACAUUUCAGGGGGUCUCUUAGAUGUUUUGGGGGGGCACUAGUUAUCUCUCCAAAGGGCCUGAAGUGUGAGAAAAGUAGUCCCUUCUCGGCGUUUCUGCGGAGGGAUCCAUUGGAGCGGGGCUACCGAAUGCUAUAUAAGGAGGCGCCGGGUGUGGCGCAGGCAGUUCCGAGGAGGCCGGGAGUUCAGUUUUCCUUCCUUUGCGUGUGCUGCUGUCACAGCCUCUUGGGGUCUGAAAGUUGGCUUUGGAGCUUAUUUGAGCUUAGGGAGCCUGUCCUAUUUUUUCCGGUUAGCUUUCUUAGACAAUGCAGAUCUUCGUGAAGACCUUUGACCGGUAAGACCAUCACCCUGGAGGUGGAGCCCAGCGACACCAUCGAGAAUGUCAAGGCGAAGAUCCAGGACAAGGAGGGCAUCCCCCCGGACCAGCAGAGGUUGAUCUUUGCCGGGAAACAGCUGGAAGAUGGGCGCACCCUGUCUGACUACAACAUCCAGAAGGAAUCCACUCUGCACUUGGUCCUGCGCUUGAGGGGAGGGGUCUAAGUUCCCCCUUUCAAGCUGCUGACAAAAUACAUUGCACUUUUCUUUCAAUAAAGUUGUUGCAUUCCCAAAUAGUGUGAGUUUUUAUGGGGAGAGGUGCUCUCUUUCGUUUGGAUGGGGUUUGAGGGGGUCAGGGUUUUCAGUCUAUCAAGUGAUUUUAGUAACCAGAAGGUCUUAAAAAAUUCAGAGGUUGCAGUUAGGAUUCUCCGUAUGUAGCUUACAUGUAGGUGUACUCGUAAACCUACUGAUUUUUGGGGGCACCUGGGUGGCUCAGUCGUUAAGCGUCUUGUCUUCAGCUCAGGGUGUGAUCCUGGCGUUAUGGGAUCGAGCCCCACAUCAGGCUCCUCCACUGGAAGCCUGCUGCUUCCUCUCCCACUCCCCCUGCUUGUGUUCCCUCUCUCUCUCUGGCUGUCUCUCUGUCAAAUAAAAAAACCUUGAAAAAUGAAAAUAAAUAAACCUACUGAUUUUAAAAAUACUGAAGUUGAGGUUGGUUUGUGAGGUAACAGUGGGAAAGUUUCUGGGCUGCCAGCAGGAGGGAGAUACUACAAAGAGGGUGGGGGUGGUGAAAUCUACAGAAGAACCCGGUUUAAUGCAUAGGUCUAUUGAAAUUUGAACUGCACAGAAAGCCGUUUUACCAGGUAUUUUAAAAAGAAUGGCAAAUAAUGUAUAUAAAAAGUGUGUCUGGCAUUAUGCUCAGAAGUUUAGGAAUCAGUGGUUAUUUAGAUAAUGACGAUUGUUAAUAGAAAUGUAAGUUGUCAAGAUGAUCCUUAAUUUCCUAAGACUACAGAUGAAGGAUUUGUAUAUAACAAUUGGUGGGAGAGGCGACUGUCUCUGUCUUUACUUGGGAAAGUUUAUAGUAGCUUUUACCCCAUCAGAUGCUGCUCGUGAGGAAUUCUUUGUCAACUACAAGCAAAGGUGGAAGUCCAGGGAAGCUGGUUGAAUGUAAGGAGUCGCCACCUGGUGGUAGGUACCCCAGACAUCAAAACCAUUAAGGGACUGUGCCCAGGGCAAAGCACCGCUGUUGUCCCCUUCCCCAGUUUUAGGGUAUCCAUGUGCAACCUCAGGUGUGCAGCAAACUUUUGUGUUGUCGACCAAAAGUAAAAUAGCUUAAGUCCACAUCCUUGGCUUUAGGGAUCAAACUAGAAAAUGCCACUUGAGAAAUACGUAAGUCAGGCUAAUUGUUGAGGUUUUUCACUUUGUUGAUAGUACACAAAAUGUGUAGUACACUUAAUUUCCAGGAGUCAUCCAUGUAAGUUGACAUACAGGUUAAGAAACAAUCUCAGGAACUCCACUAGCUCUUCUGGUCACCACAUGAAGGCGACCCGCAAAAAAUCUGAUGCUUAUUGCAAACUCGUUCUAGCAUUGGAGGGAAAACCUCAACAGCAUCCUGAAGAUGACCACUCUGCAGGACAGGUGUGACAUGGUUCCUAAAUCAGUGAUAAUGAGUGCUUUUUAAAAGUCUUCCAGGGGUGCCUGGCUGACUCUGAAGUCUGCAACUCUUGACAUCAGGUUUGUGAGUUUGAGCCCCAUGUUGGGUGUAGGCAUAACUUAAAAAAUACAAAGUGUUCCAAGUACAAGAGGUUCGGUGACUCACAGUUUUGCGAAUGUUGGGCUGGAUCAUGUUGUUCUAGCCGAAUUUCUCUUACGGUGGAGACCCUGAGUUCCUCGCGCAGAGCUAGAGGGACCUUGGCAUUGGAGCACAAGAGCGUCAGCACCGUCAAAUAAAACUGUCAGCCUGGUGGGGAUGCUCAGUUGGGAAUUCCCUGAAGAACACUUGGUUCUUUGAAGUCAAGUGCUGCCUGUCCAGUUUAACGAAAGGAAUUGCUAAUUACAAGUGUAAAUAGAAAAGUUCUGAAAAACAAUUAUAAACACGUUAAAAUUGAUGUAGAGAGUUCAUGUAAGUUUACUCCCAGGAAGAAACAAGUUUGGAAUAUAUUUGCUGCUUAUUUUAAUUACAACAUAUAUACAGUGUGUGUGUGUGUGUGUGUGUGUGUGAUAAAGUCCACCUAAGUUCAUAAUUUCCCAGGGUUAACUCUUUUCCUGGUGAUAACUACUUUUAAGGUUUGGUGCUUUUUUGGACUUUAACCCUAUAUUAUGUAAUAAAUACACCAUAGUUACUUGUGUACAUACAUUUGUAUAUACACAUGUACAUGUAACAUGGGACCAUUGGCCAUACAGGGUUUCUCAGCUUUUUUAAGGCUAAUUAUGGACAUCUUUUCAUGUCACCAUAUCUAGAUCUACCUCCUCCUUUUUAGCACUCUUGCUAUUCCAUUCUACGGCUGCCCUAUGAUUUGUGUGCACCAACAUUUGUUUCCAGGUGUUUGUUGUUAUACUGCUGCUGCAAAGUACAUCCUUAAGCACAGCUCUUUUGUAUAAUAAUAUUUUGAAAAGUAUGGCAUAAAUAUGAGAUUUCUAUGUAAUGUUCUUAGGGAUAAUUAAAGAUAAUCCUCUUUAGGACUUAUUUUUAUAAUUAUUUGUCCCAUGAUACUUUUCUAUUUUUAAUUUUUUGAGUAGGUAAUACUUCAUGUGUUUUGGAUACAUAGAAAGUUUAAAGUAAGGGCGCCUGGGUGGCUCAGUCCAUUAAGCGUCUGACUUGUGAUUUCAGCUCAAGU